CCGCGCGAAGGUAGCGUAAUCACUUGUUUUUUAAAUAAAGACUAGUAUGAAUGGCCCCACGAGGACUUAACUGUCUCCCUUGUCCAAUCAGUGAAACUGAUCCCCUCGUGCAGAAGCGAGGAUACUCUCAUAAGACGAGAAGACCCUAUGGAGCUUUAAACUAAAAUCAACUACUAUUCACCUACCCUCUAAGGACCUAAUAAAUAACUAAGUAUACUUGAUUUAAGUUUUAGGUUGGGGCGACCAUGGAGAAAAAGAAAUCCUCCCUGAUGACCACAAACUAAGAGCCACAACUCUAAGUAUUAAGACACUUAACCCUAAUUGACCCAUUUUAUGAUCAACGAACCAAGUUACCCUAGGGAUAACAGCGCAAUCCAUUUCAAGAGUCCCUAUCGACAAAUGGGUU
rnacentral:rRNA from 1 species